CCUACGGGGGGCUGCAGUGGGGAAUAUUGGGCAAUGGGCGCAAGCCUGACCCAGCAACGCCGCGUGAAGGAAGAAGGCUUUCGGGUUGUAAACUUCUUGUGUCAGGGAAGAGGAGAAGACGGUACCUGACGAAUAAGCCACGGCUAACUACGUGCCAGCAGCCGCGGUAAGACGGAGGUGGCAAGCGUUGUCCGGAUUUACUGGGGGGAAAGGGCGGGUAGCCGGGUUGACAAGUCAGAUGUGAAAUCCUGCGGCUUAACCGCAGAACUGCCUUUGAAACUGUUGAUCUUGAGUACUGGAGAGGCAGACGGCAUUCCUAGUGUAGCGGUGCAAUGCGUAGCUAUUAGGCGGCACACCAGUGGCGCAGGCGGUCUGCUGGACCGCAACUGACGGUGAGGCGCGACAGCGUGGGGAGCACACAGGAUUAGCUACCCUUGUAGUC
rnacentral:rRNA from 1 species